GGCACUGGGAUUACAAGCGUGUCCUGACCUUCACGUUCUAUCAGGAGAGACAGUCUUUGAACAUGAUUUCACUCAUACAGGGGCAUGAAGAAGGAGGAAAAGGAUGCAGGAAAGAAUUUAAGAGGCAAAGUGGAUGUGAUAAAGGAACGAGAAGAUCAUGAGAAAAGAUGAAAAAGAGAACAGUGACUGACCCAUGUCAUGAAGCAUCAGUUUCUAAACUUUGCUGUAUGCAGGCUCAAUGGCAUCCCUCUUCAGGAAGGAGCUUCCUGUGUUUUCUCUGGGAACUCACCUGUUUUCCACUCCAGACUCUCCAAGAUAUGCAGAGCUUUGGGCCAGGAUCCUACAGCCACGGGUCAUGCAGAGCCAGUUGGCCACAUCCUUUGGGCCAAAUUUGGUCCUAACCAGGUCUUACCACGGUAACUGCUAACCAGUCCAUCUUCAGUUAAUAUUUCAUGCGUAAGAUGUUUCAUGAAGUAACUGAAUGGGCUAAUGGGUUGUUCACUGGAUAAGACUCCCAGAUACUCCCUUUCAUGCCAUUCCCCAGAAUUCCUUCACCUCCCAGUGCUGUCUGUAAGGGUGAAGAUACUCCAUUUUGCCCCAUGCUCUUUGCUGUGCCCCAGAUAGGCUCAAACAUUUUUCCCUUUUGGGGAUUUUGCAGGUAGGAAUUGUUGAACAUCUUACCAUUUAAUCCAGAAGUUAUGUCCUUUAAGGAAUCGACCCUGAGCCUGUGAGUUUUACUUUGGGUUGGGGGUGAAGGAGUGGACCUUGCAGCAUUCAAGGUCAUCCAAGAUCAUCCAGUUAAGGCCCCUAAGGUCACUACGGGGGGAAAAGCCUGGUGAGGGAAGAGAAAGCAUUAGGGGGAGCUGCACCGUGCUGAGAAAUAACACCACACAGAAGUCUGUGUUCUAAUCUCAGCUCUGCUUUGCAUUACUGUGUGACCUGGAGCUGAUCACAGCCCUCUGAGUCUUAAAGGGGUUGGACAAGGCCAACUAAACAUUAGAAACACCUGAAAGUGCUGGUUAAAAGGAAGAAUGCAUGAGCUUCACUCCAGAUUUACUAUAUCAGAAUUUCCAGGGUCAGGGUCCAAGAAUCUGCAUGUUUAAUACGCUUUCCACAUGAUUUUUCCCCCCUCUGGACUUAAGAAAACAAUGGGCAAGUCAGCUCAUGAAGAACUUUUCAGAUAUUCAGACUAUUAUUCUGAGAGAGAAAAUAUUGGCAGAGAACAGAUGGGAUUUUUCUCAAGGAAAAGAAAUGGAAAUCCUACAUCUUGCAAGAAAUAGAAAAAAAUAAAUAAACUGUUUGAAGAAGAAUCACAUCAGGCUGGCAGGAGAGAGCCUGCGGCUCGGUGUCUGACCCAGAAUGUUAAAGCCAGCCUGGCUUGGCUCCAGGAUAAAGGACACUCUGUCAGCCUCUCCACAUUGAUUCAUCUCCCCAGCCCCAAGAUCAGGAGAGCAUUCUGUUCCUUGAAGCAUUUUAUGACUGUAAGUCAGAAGUGCUGCAGUUUUAAUAAAAAGCUGUAUUGUCCUG
ensembl:lncRNA novel transcript